rnacentral:lncRNA from 1 species
CUGGAGGAUACAUGAUGGUAUAGUGAAAAGAUUCGGGGAGGUUCGAUACAUACCUGAUUUCAGACGGAAUCUUAUCUCAUAGAGCAGACUGAAUUCGAGAUGCUAUAGGACAGUAGCUAAUGGAGAAAUCUUGAAGGUGUUGCAUGGCGAUAGGAUUAUUCUGGAGGAGAAGAAGAGGACGAGAGAACAUUACUACUUAGCAAGGAGCC